UUUUUUUUUUUUUUUUUUGGUUUUGAUUUGGCUUAUUAAGGAGUUCGGGCUCUACCUGGUUCUGGCUCUUGCUCCCUGCACUGUUCUGAGAUGGAGCUUAGGACUAAACCCUUUCCGUUGCUACAACUGCACCCCAAGACAGUGCCGGCAGGUGCCUCCAGUAGUCAAAAGGCAAGGCGGUGCUCUGUCUCCCUCCCCUCUUCUUCAUUUCCUUUUCUCCCUUCUUCAUCAGCUGUCUUACAAAAUUAGAAUUUCAUGCUCAUGUCCCGCCCACUCUCAAACCCAAAGCUGUACCUCAAAUUACAAAUUCCUUCUUCCUAUCAACUCAGAGAAAAGUAUGAGAUGACCUAUUUCCUGAGGGACCCUGGAGGAACUAGGUUCAGAAACCAGGUGAUGAAGAGAUUCUCUGAGGAGAAUCUGUAAAACAAGAAACAGCCUUCUGUGACCGACCAGAAAGAGUUCCAUAAACUAGGCUGUAUCAACAACAAGCAUUUGAAAUAAACUAUUUUCCUGUCUUAAAUACUAGUAUUCAAACAUAAUAGCCUUUCAUUGCAAAUGAAUCAAUAUUUAGAACAUUCUUUUUCUAUGGGAAGAAUUAUUUCCAAUUUCAAACAGCCAAGCGACAAACUUGGCAAGGCUGCCUAAACUUCGAAUAUGUUUGAUUGAAAAAGAGUUACUUAAAUUCUUCAGAUAACUCUAAAAUCUUCCCUUUAUUUUGUGAAAUUUUAAUCCACCCAUCAUGAUAUAGGAUAAAUGUAGCUCAAGGAAUAGAGAAGAACAAAAAAUCUUCACUAAAACAUCACAGGAGAAAUUUACACACAACUUCAUAAACUGAAAUGUCUCAGGUUUUAAAUACACACACAACUACUUCCCUCCACCCCUUUUUCUCCCCCGCUUCCCCUGCCACCACCUCUCAUUCUGUUUCUAUCUUAUUUUAAGGGAAGCUAAUAGUAUCCUCUCCUUUCUUAUAAAUUGUUUCCAACAUGUGAAACUGUAGACUUCUUUAAGGGUACUAAUAGAAACCCAAAAUGUUCACUGGAUCAAUCAAAAAAAAAAAAAAAAAAAAAAAAAAGGAAGCUGAAAAUUGUUAGAACUUUACAAGUUACAAAUUCCUUAUAGGAGUAGUUAUAUCUUUAUAUUCUAAAUCACAAUUUCAUUUCUGACUUUCCUGGGGGGGACAAAAAAGCUUUAGAAGUCCCAUGUAAUAUUUUACUCUGGUGUUUCCAAAAGCUUGGCCUUCAUACCCCCUUGUUUGAAUCACGUAGAAUAUUUUCUAAAAAUGCAAAUUCCCGAUCCCUCUCCAGAACUAUUAAUGAAUCAGAUAAUCAAGGUCAGAUUGCUCAGCAUUUUGACAAUUUUCCACAAGUGUUUCUUACGACUAGCAAAAUUAACACAAAAUGCAUUUUUUCACUUAUUUAUAUUUAAGACAUUUCCCCAACAGCACCACGCUAACAUUUUAUAAACUUACUAUGUUAAAACAUAUUAGACCUCUUUUGAAUAAAUAUUUUUAUCUUCUAGCAAUAAAAGAUGACUCCUUCCUUUAAUAAUAUGUUUAGUCUGGUUUGUCAUAAUGUACUCAGGCACUUUACCAGGCAGAAUUCAACUGCCACAUCAAAAAACACACUAAAUUAACUUUAACUUUUACCACCAUAUAUUGAAAUUUAAACUAACUAGUUAAAAUAAGUGUUACUGUUAGACAAUGUCAUUAAAAAACAGAAAAAACAUUAGAGCUCUUUGUGAAAACAAAAGCUAUGAAUAUACACGUUAAUAGUUUUUAAAAUAAGUUUGUACCACUAUGUCAUCAAAAAAUAUUUUUACCUAAUUGUAUUUCCUCCUCCUCUAUUAACAUUUUCAAAAAAUAAAAUAAAAAGAGAACUUCACUCUCUGAAAAGACCAUAAUUGUUCAUUAGCUUUGUGGAUCUCAGCAGCCCCUCACCUGCCUGCAUUAGGUCUUUUUGCACUUUUCAUUUUUUAGGUCACAGAAAUACAGUAAGUAAUGUAAUGAAACCACAGACUUGUCUGUAUUUUCUCAUACAGCCAGGCCCUGACUCAUAAAUAUUUCAUCUAUUGUUGUCUUAACUCUAAAAGAAAUUUGCCUGUAUUUUUCACGCUUUAUUUUGAAACAGCUCUCUUCUGAAAGCAACUCUGACCAUGACUUUGGUAAACGAACACAUACUGCCCGUAAAAAGAACUUUCACAAUACAAUGGCAACCACCUCAACCAAAGAACCAAAAACUUUUUAAGACUCAGAACUAUAAAAUUCAUAUAAUUCUGAACCACGUUAUUUCACAAGGAAAUUCAAUAUUAUAUGAUAGAAGUAUCUUUUCUGAGCCUUAAGAUGUUAACACUUUUCACAUAAGCGCCUUUAGGUCAAAGAAUGCAAGGAAAAUACAAGCUGAGUUCAGAGAAGGAGUUUCAGGGGAAUGGGUAUUAUGGGUUAGUUAGGAAUCAAAAAUCACAAAUUGCUUAUUCAAGAUUUUGAAUAGUGGACGUUCAAAUAGUGUAAAACCUCAGAUACUGCACAGUUCUUGACAACUUUGCCAUUGAUAAAAUGGGGAUAUAGCAGUAUGUCCUAUAAAAGUAGUAUGAAAAAUAAAUUAACACAGACAAAUUACUUAGAAAAGUAUCUACUUUAACUGCUCAAUGAAUGUUAGCAACAUUAUAACACAUUGUUAGCUAUAUAUAGUGAUGAUUCAUUUCAAAUGUAUAUAGAUAGAUAAAUAAUACCAUCCAAAGAAUUAAUGACAAGUCAGAGUCCACACUUAUUAAGUUUAGCAAAGGUUCUAAUCUUAACCCUGCUCUCAGUAUUUUCAUAAUUAGAGAUAUAAAAGAGUAUUAAUCAAAAUUAUGGAUGACACAAUUGCUAAUAGAGAAUUAGGAUUUUUUUUAAAUCUUGACAUGCUGAAUAAACUAUAAAAAAAGUUUAACAGAUACACAAAUUCUAUUCUUAGAACAAAGUAUUCAAUUGUAUAUUAAUUGCUACUUACAUGAAAUGAAUUAUAAUUAUAGCAAUAAAGUAACAUGACUAAAAAAUAAUUUGCAUUAGGUUAGAGGAAAUUGAGAUGAAUUUUCAUUGUCUUCUAUGUCAGUCAAACUACACUCAUUCUAUGAUAUUUGGCUCUAGAUACACUUUAUAUACAUAUAUAUGUAAAUUUUUUACACCACACCCACAGUAUAUGGAAGUUCCUGGGCCAGGGACUGAAUCUGAGCCACAGCUGUGACCUAUGCUGCAGUGGCUGCAACACCAGAUCCCAUAACGUACUGUGCCAGGCUGUGGAUUGAACCCACAACUCUGCAGAGACAAAGCCACCACUGGAGUCAGAUUCUUAACCCACUGUGCCAUAGUGGCAACUCCUGGAUACAUUUUAAAAGGGAAACUUCAAGGAAGAGAAACAUACUCAGAGAAGAGUGAUCAGAACUGUGAAGGGUAAAAUAAGUUUAUAUAAUACAUAUAAAGUAUAACUGGAGAAACCUGACUUUUUUUAAUCUCAAAAAAGGAAAAGUUUAUUGAGGAUAAAAAUCUUUCAGACAUUUGCGAAAUUAUCUAUAUGAAAUAGUUUGUGCAAAACCAAAGGACAGAGUUAGAAAUAAUGGCUAAUUAACUGAUUCCAAUUCAGUGUAAGGAGAAACUUUCUAUCAAUUACAUUUUUUCAAAUAUUGGUUGUUAAGAUAAGUUCUUCAUUCAUAUAAGUAUUUGAAAGCCACUAGCCAGGACUAAGGAAAUCAGGAUUGCCUCUUUCAUGUACAGAUGUCUUUAAAAAGCUGCUCAUGGAGUUCUCGUCAUGGCUGAGUGGUUAAUGAAUCUGACUAGGAACCAUGAGGUUGCGGGUUUGAUCCCUGGCCUCGCUCAGUGGAUUAAGAAUCUGGCGUUACUGUGAGCUGUGGUGUGGAUCGCAGACAUGGCUCGGAUCCCGCAUUGCUAGGGGUCUAAUCGGAGCAGCUACACGUCCGAUUAGACCCCUAGCCUGGGAACCUCCAUAUGCUGUGGGAGUGGCCCUGAAAAAGGCAAAAAGACAAAAAAAAAAAAAAAAAAAA
rnacentral:lncRNA from 1 species